rnacentral:rRNA from 1 species
AUGGCGGAGUCGCCCGAGAACACCGCCGCGGCACCCGCGCCCGCGCCACCCGCCUCUCCCGCCCCCUUGACGCCAAGUGGGAUGCCUUCCUCGACCUCUCCAUCCGCCGCGUCGCCUACUCCUCCCUCACCGGCGCCUUCGGAGGCCUCAUCCUCUUCCGUAAGCCCCCAACCCCAUCCGCCUCACCUCUCCAUUCCCCUCGCUGCAUCACGAGAUCUGUUCGUCGCACCUCCGUGGGUAUCUCAUGAUCUAGGGUUGCGCAAAAAUAAUGCUCGUGUUCCAUAUCGAUUGGCCUAA